UACGUAGGGUGCAAGCGUUGUCCGGAAUUAUUGGGCGUAAAGAGCUCGUAGGCGGUUUGUCGCGUCUGCUGUGAAAACCCGAGGCUCAACCCCGGGCCUGCAGUCGAUACGGGCAGACUAGAGUGUGGUAGGGGAGACUGGAAUUCCUGGUGUAGCGGUGAAAUGCGCAGAUAUCAGGAGGAACACCGGUGGCGAAGGCGAGUCUCUGGCCCAUAACUGACGCUGAGGAGCGAAAGCGUGGGGAGCGAACAGG
rnacentral:rRNA from 1 species